ACUUACUGACGAGUCCCAAAUAGGACGAAAGACGCAUCCUGGAU
rnacentral:hammerhead_ribozyme from 1 species